CGGGGUUGUCCGCAUAAACGUUUGUUGGUUUCUCCACAAAAUACUUGGGCCGAAAAUACUUCGUAUCGUUGUUGAAUUCGCAAGUCUUGUCAGCAAGAUUAUAGUUUAAACUUUGACAAGCUGGUUGCGUGGAACAAGACAUGUAACAAGACACCAAGUGAUCAGCAAAAAAUGACUGAUAAACGUGAUCGACAAGAGCAAAACGGUUUUCUGAAUUAUUAUUGCUGCAAGAUUCACCUGUCCACACGAGCGGGCGGAACAACACGAAAGAAAUUAUGGUACCCAAAGCUGCCAUAUUCUCUGAACUUUGCAAUUGCAAAGGCGUUUUAGAUGUAUCCACUCUCUCUUUUUAUCUCCGACGGCAACAGAUGAUAUUUGCCGCCCGCCAUGUGCAAUUAAAUAUUAACAAAUAUUAUUGUACCUGACUUUUUUUGUUUUGAUGUCCAAGAGAAAAAAAGCUACUGAAGCUAAAUUCAUAUUUUGAAUACGAAUGUGUUGUUGUGGUUCAUG